rnacentral:piRNA from 1 species
UCUCAGCUCCAGACAAACCGAACUUUGAGU